rnacentral:lncRNA from 1 species
UGUUGGCACUCGUUGGUUGUUGAUCUCAGUAGGCACUUCACCUAGCUUGUGUUACCGUGUAUGCAAUUGCGUAGUGGUCGCGUUACUGCCUCUAGCUCUAGUACCCUUAUCAUGGACCCCUCCCAAAUUGAGGCCCUCAACCGACAGUUGGCGCAGUUACAAAAUCAACUAACGACUGUCCAAACUGAGGUAGCCGCUACUCGUGAGGAGAAUAGAGCCCUAACUGCUAGGUUGAACACUCUUGACCCAAUCCCAUAUUCGACCGAAGCUGAAAACUCUGAGGCUUCCAUUAAUAGACCUCAUCGUCGUCUACAAGGUGGUCGACACCACGCCCAACAUGAC